UACGGAGGGUGCGAGCGUUAAUCGGAAUUACUGGGCGUAAAGCGUGCGUAGGCGGCGCGUUAAGUCAGAUGUGAAAGCCCCGGGCUUAACCUGGGAACUGCAUUUGAAACUGGCGUGCUUGAGUUGAGUAGAGGGGAGCGGAAUUUCAGGUGUAGCGGUGAAAUGCGUAGAUAUCUGAAGGAACACCAGUGGCGAAGGCGGCUCCCUGGACUCAAACUGACGCUGAGGUACGAAAGCGUGGGUAGCAAACAGG
rnacentral:rRNA from 1 species